rnacentral:misc_RNA from 1 species
UUAACUCUGUCCGUGCCGCAACGCAACCUCACUCCCGCCGUUGGUCUCGGAUGUUGCUAACGAUGAAGUCUCUUGGCCCAUUUGGUUGCCUAGACCCGCCCUAAGAAGCUCUCCGAACUUGAGAACAACCGGAACAGGUGUUGCCUCUACCUCUCCACAGUUAGUGGUAGGAUACGCAACAUUUUGCGCCGAUCCUCAUGCCAGUAGGACGAGCUUGGCCCGCUCAAUUGCGACAACCGGCGCGGCUGUUGCCUCUGCCUUGCCACGCAAGUGGACGGGCGGACAACUGCUGACGCUGGACGUCAAAGUGGACGUGCUACCUGGUUGAUCCUGCCAGUAGUC